ensembl:lncRNA
CAAAGAUGAGAAGGCUUAGACAUGCUGAGUUGAGAGACUGUGGAUAUAUGGACAAAGAAAGUUGAAGAUGGAGCUACCAGGCAGGAGGAAAAGUGGAAGACCAUGGAAAAGAUUGGAUGUAGUGACGGAGGACAUGCAGAGGGUUGGUGUGACAGAAGAGGAGGCUAAGGAUGGAUAAAAAAAUUUUUUGUCUUCUUCGUUUGUGCGUCUAGGUUGAUCUUUGCUUCUAGUCCUUGGUUCUUUAUGAUUUUAGUUUCUUUCUAUGUCCAGUCCUUAGUCUAAGUCUCAUUCUGCGUCUCCUGUCUUGUGUGUGUGAUGUUCAGUUUUCUUUCUCCAGUCUCAUCAGUCUGAUUUUGUUCAGCUGUGUUCCCCAGGUGUGUCCACUCCAUCCCAAUCUCCUCUUGUGUAUUUAUUGACUGCCUCUCCCUUGGCUCUUAGUCGUGUUCUCCCUGGUUGUAGGUGAUGUUCAUCUGUUUUCCUUCCAGUCAGUACAUCAUGUCCUGUUACUGUUUACUUUUGCAUUUUGUUUUUUUUUUUUGUUUGUUUGUUUUUUUACCAUUUUACCAGCAAUUAAACUGUGAUUUUGAGUUUUGUUCUGUUUAGCUGAGUCCUGCAUUCUUGGUUGCCACACACUUGCUUAAAUGACAAUUUGCUGAACGCAAAAUACAGCCAAGGCAAUGUCAAUGUCUCUUUGGUAAUGACCUUGGGAUCAAGUGAAGUGAAAUGGACCAGUGUCAGCAGUAAUGCAGGCAUGUACUCAUCUUCUGAACAAGAGCUGAGUCAAAAGGUGAAGCUUUCAAUUUACCAAUCUAAAUUUCAGCCCUCACCUACAACCAUAAGAUUCGAGUAAUGAUUGAAAAUGUAGGGUUACAGAGAUGUGGCAGAGUCAGCAUUAGACUUUGCAUUAGACUCUACAGUUGACUCUGCCACAGAGUCAACUGUAGAGUCAGCAUUAGAAAUAGAGUGAAGCACUUGGACAUCCAGACAAAGCUCCCUGUACAGGUGUUACACAUUGCUCAAAGGAGACAGUUGAGGUGGUUUGGGAAUAUGGU